GCGGCAGUGGCUCAGGCGGCGGAGCGGGUCGUCCGGCAACCCGGAAGGUUGCUGGAUCGAUCCCCGGCUUGUCGCCUCCA